rnacentral:lncRNA from 1 species
GGUGCACCAAGCAUCCCGCGUUCACGCAGAGCCCGGGGAAGGGCCACACCCUAGGGGUGUAAUAUAGGCAGCCUACCCUGAUGCAAGCAUUAGUAGCUGAUUCCACGGCUCGAGCACGUGAUCUAUAGGUCACACGGAGACAACUUAGCCAUUGCUCCAAGGCUCCGCUUUUAGGUAAGUAUGAAGAGAAUUAUUCCACCUAUUUGAUGUCGAAUACUGUUUUUUCAAGAAACAAAAGUAUACAGUAACAACUUUUACAGGUAUUUUAGCUGAAAUCACAGUUUUCUGUUCCUCUCGCUAAAUGCUCUGACU